rnacentral:rRNA from 1 species
UACGUAGGGGGCAAGCGUUGUCCGGAAUCAUUGGGCGUAAAGAGCGUGUAGGCGGCUCGAUAAGUCUGUUCUGAAAGUCCAGGGCUCAACCCUGGGAUGCGGAUGGAUACUGUCGAGCUCGAGUCCGGAAGAGGCGAGUGGAAUUCCUGGUGUAGCGGUGAAAUGCGCAGAUAUCAGGAGGAACACCAGUGGCGAAAGCGGCUUCCUGGUCCAGCACCGACGUUCAGGCACGAAAGCGUGGGGAGCAAACAGG